AUCCGCCUGGGGGAGUACGACCGCAAGGUUGAAACUCAAAAGAAUUGACGGGGGCCCGCACAAGCGGUGGAGCAUGUGGUUUAAUUCGAAGCUACGCGAAGAACCUUACCAGGUCUUGACAUCUUCUGCCAACCUAAGAGAUUAGGCGUUCCCUUCGGGGACAGAAUGACAGGUGGUGCAUGGUUGUCGUCAGCUCGUGUCGUGAGAUGUUGGGUUAAGUCCCGCAACGAGCGCAACCCUUAUUACUAGUUGCCAGCAUUCAGUUGGGCACUCUAGUGAGACUGCCGGUGACAAACCGGAGGAAGGUGGGGACGACGUCAAAUCAUCAUGCCCCUUAUGACCUGGGCUACACACGUGCUACAAUGGAUGGUACAACGAGUUGCGAAACCGCGAGGUUUAGCUAAUCUCUUAAAACCAUUCUCAGUUCGGACUGUAGGCUGCAACUCGCCU
rnacentral:rRNA from 1 species